ACAGUGCUCCGCAACCGCUCUAAUGGCUCGCUUCCUCCGCUUCUCCGCAAAUUCCCUUCGCCUCCUCCUCCCCUCUCCUCAAAACCCUAACCCCUCCUCCUCCUCCUCCUCCUCUCUCCUCAAAACCCUAACCCCUUCUCCUCGUCCUCUUCUGGCCCUCUCCCCUCGCUCCUUCCUCUCCGACCCCGGCCCCUCCCCCUCCGCCUUCGACGAUCGCCUCCUCCGCCUCCUCCGCUCCGAGAUCUCCUACCUCGCCGGCCACCUCCCCCCUCUCCCGCCCCCCAAUCGAUUCAGGUCCUUCUCCGUCGAGGACCACCCUGGGGAGCAGUGGAUCCGGCUCCGGUGUGCCCAUGGCGCCGACGAGGUUAAGGUGGACGCCACCAUGUUCGACGGCGCGGCCGCGGUCCCCGACGAGCCCUUGUUCAAGAGGGUGGAGGCGCAUGAGCGGGGCCCGCGCCUCCACAUUAGCCUCGUUGUAGAGGUGUCCCGAGGCGGGGGUGGGGACGAGGGCGAGGGCGAGCCCUCGGUGCUCGAGUUCAUCUGCUCCGCGUGGCCCGACUCCCUCGUCGUCCACAAGGUGUUUCCGCUUAGGAAGAAGGGCGCCGCGGUGCGGCCCUACAUGGGCCGCGAUUUCAAGGAGUUGGAUGCGGGAGAUCGGAGGUCGGUGGUGGAGUACUUGGAGGAGAGAGGGGUGGAUGAUGAGCUCGCAGAGUUCUUGCAUGAGUACAUGGUGAACAAGGACAAGUCGGAGCUCCUUCGGUGGCUGAGGAUUGUGGAGUCUUAUGUCCAAAAAUAGGGAAUGCGGUAACCAUUGAAGGUUAAAUUGGUUCAUAUUUGUUUCCUCGCGGAAACGGUGGUACUGAGUUUAUCAAUUUGACUAUGUCAAAACAUGAUGGCAAGCAUUAGAAGGCCUUUAGAGCUAAUUUUUCUACAGCUGAUGAUUAGUAACACUUAAAGAGCCAUGGAUCUCAGUGAAUUGCAGGAAUGUAGUAGAGACACAAUGCUGAAGAUUUUAGGAAAUAAAAGUGCACUAUAUAUGUGGGUGCAAAGUGUUGUAGGCUCCAGUAGCCUCUCUCUUUUUCUUUUUUCUUUUCUUUUUCUUCCCUUCUUGAGGAUAGUAGCAAAACAAUUGUAUGGAAGAACUUACAUGCAGUGUUAAAUCACAGUCUGGAUUGGAUUCCUGCAAAAAAGUAGUGAGCAUGUUUGGUUCUGCUUUAGCUUCUGCUUUCUAUUGUAGUUAUUUGAAAUAAGAACUUCUGCUAUUGGAUUGUGAUUUGAGGCUCAUAAAUAGAAGC